UGGGGAAUAUUGGACAAUGGGCGAAAGCCUGAUCCAGCCAUGCCGCGUGUGUGAAGAAGGUCUUCGGAUUGUAAAGCACUUUAAGUUGGGAGGAAGGGCAGUUACCUAAUACGUGAUUGUUUUGACGUUACCGACAGAAUAAGCACCGGCUAACUCUGUGCCAGCAGCCGCGGUAAUACAGAGGGUGCAAGCGUUAAUCGGAAUUACUGGGCGUAAAGCGCGCGUAGGUGGUUAGUUAAGUUGGAUGUGAAAUCCCCGGGCUCAGCCUGGGAACUGCAUUCAAAACUGACUGACUAGAGUAUGGUAGAGGGUGGUGGAAUUUCCUGUGUAGCGGUGAAAUGCGUAGAUAUAGGAAGGAACACCAGUGGCGAAGGCGACCACCUGGAUCGGUACUGACGCUGAGGUGCGAAAGCGUGGGGAGCAAACAGGAUUAGAUACCCCCGUAGUCCCUGAGCGGGCUGGCAAGGCGCAU
rnacentral:rRNA from 1 species